rnacentral:lncRNA from 1 species
UUUAACCCAUCCAGACUUCCUACAGGCACAGAGCAGCCUAGAAGCAGAACAUGCUGUGCUGACCUCUCCAGGUGGCCAGAGGGCAGUGGGUUUGCAUCACCACAUUUGCCUAACAAUUGACAUUCUACUUGGCACUGUUCGCUUGCUGACUGAGAACCAACAAAGCCAGAUAUCCUAGCACUGCAAGCAGCACACCAGCCUCCUGAAGGAAGCCAGGGCAGUAAGGCUACAAAUAGCUGCCCAUGAAAACACUGGGGUGAAACUGCCAGGGAGAAGAAAACAACUACCCAGAAGCACCCCAAGGACCACUGGGGACGGAAACAGGGAGAGCAAGCUGAGUGGCCAAGACAUUCAUAUGAAGACUGUGACCUAUGGCCCAGCUAAUAAGAGGACCUCUACCCGCCUCAUUGUGAUGUCCAUGACCCUUCUAUUCUAAGAGGAGAGGACCUCUUGAGAGAGAAGAUUCUGGAAUAACUACAGAUAGAAUGGCAACAUUUAACGAGGAUUGUUGAUGCCAAUCAGCAAAAAUCAGGAAGUUGGGAGGAGGAGGAGGGUAAAGGAGAAGGUUGAGUCCAAUCUGGCUCACAGGUAGACAAACUUAGCACACCACUGGAAAGGUAAAACGGAAGCUCCAGAGAAAGAUAUCUGGAGACACGGCCAUUAGAGUCACCUACAGAGAAAUGACAGCUACAACAACAGGACUGAGAAGCUGGCAACUGAUAAAGGCAGAAUUUGAACCAAGGGCCAAGAACACCUUUCUCACUAGACCAGUGCUUCUUAAACUUGAAUGCACAUAGGAAUCACUGGAGAGUCUUAUUGAGAUGCAGAUUAUCAUCCCAUAUGACAUGUCCAAAGGUUCUGUUUUUUGGAAUUCCAAAUUCAUCAGAAGGAAGAUUUUGUUUCUCUGUUCACUGCAACAGCCCAGAUGCCCAACACUGUCUUCAUGGGUAGUUUCUGUACUAAAGCAAUCAACAGUGUGGGACUGCAAAACCUUGUAAUCUUAGAAUUCUUGUAGCCCUGACUGCAAUUAAAUGUGAGCUAAUGAUUAAGAAGCUUGUUAGUUCUGGGAAGCUAGAUAAAAUUUGUAACAGAUACAGAGUUUUAAAGGUAAAUUACUCAAGUCCUUGUUUGCCCGGAGAUCGGACGUUCCCGGACCCACUAUCAGUACGUGACAGUCGUGACCAUUAGUGUGUGUGUGUCUGCCGACCAUCAUUCCGUGACAGUCGUGACCAUUAGUGUGUGUGUGUGCCGACCAUCAGAACGUG